rnacentral:lncRNA from 1 species
GGAGGGGAAGGGGGAGGAGAAAAAGGAGGAGAAGGAGGAGGAGGAGGAGGAGGAGGAGGAGGAGGAGGAGGAGGAGGAGGAGGAAAAGGAGGAGUAAUAUCUCCAAAACAAUAAUACACAAGAAAAAGAACUUGAGCAAAGAGGACAAGAAGAAAAGGAAGCGAGAAAAGAUUUUUCAAAGCCCUUUAAAGUAUGCCAAGCUCCUCAUAUAUAUAUAUAUAUAUAUAUAUAAAUAUAUAUAUAUAUCUUCAUAUCUAAUCCCAACACCAACACAAUAAGACCACUUUACAGGUGAGGAAAAUGAGGCAAACCAAGUUAGAUGACUUCUCCAAGAUCACACUUCUGAGAAGGAAACUGAUGCCUAAGGAGGGGCCCAAAGUCAUGAAAUGGAGGCAGAAAUUAAGACCCAAAGAGAAGAAGAAACCCAAUCAACAUCACAUUCAGGUAAGUGACAGAGCUAUCAAUCCAGGUCUUCACACUUCAAAUCUAGAAUACUUUCUACUGUGUCAUUUUUCCUCUUGUAUACAAUUUAUACUUUGCAAUUCAUUCACACUACAGUAGAGUUUAAUUGCAUUCAUGUGUCUACAUGUGUUAAUGGUAGAAAAAGAAUGAGAAAGGGAAAUAUUAACAGAAGAGAGAGUGGAAGACUGCAAGUUUUGUUCUUUGGUGGGAGAAAUACCUUUCUAGUGGUAGCAAUUCGUUCAAUGAAUAAACAGAUAUUAAACACCUACUAUAUGUUAGGU